rnacentral:lncRNA from 1 species
CAUCUUCUUCUUCUUCUUCUUCUUUUUCUUCUUCUUCACUAGCUCUACUCUCCUUUCAUCUAUAUCUUUCUCUCUCAACUCAAAACUUAACAAAUAAGAAGAGAAAAAAAAGGACAAGUUUCCAUGUCAGCCGCUGCAAAACUCCCAGAGAGAGCAGUAGUAGGUGCAGCCUGGGUUUUUUUGUACACAUAUGGUUUUUUAAGAUGAAACCCAUCAGACGGAGAUAUGAAACCAAUAUAUUUUUGGACCAUCUCCUCCUUUUCCAUUAAAUAAACUUCAG